AGCGGCAGGUUUAACACAUGCAAGUCGAGGGGCAGCAUGUCCCAGCAAUGGAUGAUGGCGACCGGCGGAAGGGUGCGUAACGCGUGAGCAACAUGCCCUAUACAGGGAGAUACACCAGGGAAACUUGGUCUAAUAUCCCAUAGCAUUCAUUGAAGGCAUCUUUAAUGAAUUAAAGCUUCGGUGGUAUAGGAUUGGCUCGCGUGACAUUAGCCAGAUGGUGAGGUAACGGCUCACCAUAGCAAUGAUGUCUAGGGGUUUUGAGAGGAAGGCCCCCCACACUGGGACUGAGACACGGCCCAGACUCCUACGGGAGGCAGCAGUGAGGAAUAUUGGACAAUGGAUGGAAAUCUGAUCCAGCCAUGCCGCGUGCAGGAAGACGGCCUUAUGGGUUGUAAACUGCUUUUAUACGGGAGCAAUAAGGGUUACGAGUAAUCCGAUGAGAGUACUGUAUGAAUAAGGAUCGGCUAACUCCGUGCCAGCAGCCGCGGUAAUACGGAGGAUCCGAGCGUUAUCCGGAAUUAUUGGGUUUAAAGGGUGCGUAGGCGGCCAUUUAAGUCAGCGGUGAAAUUUUGCAGCUUAACUGUAACAGUGCCGUUGAUACUGUUUGGCUAGGAUUUGGUUGUAGUGUGCGGAAUGUGUGGUGUAGCGGUGAAAUGCUUAGAUAUCACACAGAACACCGAUUGCGAAGGCAGCACACUAAGUCAUUAUUGACGCUGAGGCACGAAAGUGUGGGGAUCAAACAGGAUUAGAUACCCUGGUAGUCCACACUGUAAACGAUGAUAACUCGCUGUCGGCGAUACACAGUCGGGGCCAAGCGAAAGC
rnacentral:rRNA from 1 species